rnacentral:lncRNA from 1 species
ACACUGGAGAGGUUGAGAACCCACUCAGUCUGUGAAGCUGAUGUUUCAUCAGAAUCAGUCUGAGGCUGAAGGUCUGUGGGCUGCCUGGAGAGCUGCUUGUCCACACUGGAAGGUGGCUGAGAAGCUGGGCUUUGGUGGUAGCCUAGCAACGGAUAGACACAAAGAAGUCAGAUGGAGGUGCUUGGGGCAGUGCUGAUGCUCAGGCAAACGCUCCUACAGCAGAGUGAGCGCACAGGUCCUCCUGUGCCUGGAUCCUUGGUCCAAGUCUCCUCACGCGGCUCAACUUUACGUCUGUGUCAGAAGAACGUCAAGACCAAUUGCCACUUCUUUUUUUUCUCAGAGUCCUCACCCAACAUAAGGCUUCCAAGAUGACAGAGAACAGGAGGUUGCGAUGACUACUGUUGAGACCAUUGUCAAGGGAAAGUCCUUUUCUUUUGAAGACCACUUGGAUGCUGACAUUUGCUGGAAGUGCCUAGAUUACUGCGAAGGCUUGGCUGGGUUUAUGGUUGACAAAACAUCUUUUGGUGACAUCAGAAGGGACCUACUGGUGUCCGCGUGGGCAGAAGAGAGUAGUACUACUGCUUUGAGAUAGCCAGUUGAAAGCCAGCACCUGCUUCGGUCCACAGGAAGGCAAACUAGCUCCCAUCACACAGGCUAAUGCUUUGUUCUUAGUUGAAAUCUAUACCAAGACUGCUGAGCAUCCUGGAUUCUCCAACUGGGCUGCCACAGGCAGAUUCUGGCUCAGCAUCUCAAUAUGGCAGAGAUCUUCUUCACUGCACAUGUACCCACUGGGAGGACUCAAACCUGGUAUUUCAGAACUCAGGAGAAAAAUUCACACUUUGCAUUUCUCACUGUCACAUGGAGGAGACUGUGACAAGGCCAGCUCUAGUGGCACAGGAUCAUAUGUACAAAUGGAUAUUCUUGAUAAACUUAUAGAAGUGAUGGCACAGACCCAAAGUUCCAAGCACUCCUCACUCUACCCUCAGAAGAUGCAAAGAUGAGUCCAUGCUCCAACUGAUCGCAUCUGGAUUCUAGAGUGUUCUUGAGUGUGUGAAGCUUCAAAGGAAGGAUGUUAAUGUGCUUCGAGGCAGAGGUCAGGAUGUACCUGAAGAAAGGCCUCAUACCAAAAGGUGGAUGUGAUAAGAGACCCAUUAACCAGUAGCAGAGGUCACGUGGCUUGUGUAAAGAGGAGACAUCUGGACCACGCAUGCCCAUUUUAUCACUGGACACCUUUGCAGAGAUUAUGGGGAUGAUCCAGUAACACUGCUUUUGGGUGAGUAGCCGAUGUCUUCACUGGGAUCAGGCAGUCUCCUCACAAAACACUCCAAGAGCUGACAGUAUCUCAUUAGUGGGUACAGUGUCAUUGCAGUGGAGUGUCCCAUUUGUGGACAGUGGAAGUCAAAGUGAUUUAUAGAGAGCAGUUGUCAAGUCAUGGCUGAGUGAGGAACCUGCAUAGGAAAACCCCUUGAGAAGCCUCUCCACAAAGCCAGCCGGUGGGUGACAGUGGCUGGCUCCUUGAUUAGAGGCCAUACAGAGUUGUUUCUGAAUCUAGACUUUGGGUCAUUGGGGGCAGGAGGUAGUUCCUUAUUCAUCGUUCUGUUUUGUUCGAGUUGAGAAACGUGUGUAAGUACACUUUAGACUCAACGAGGAACGUGGGCUUCUUUCACUUCCAGUGCCUGUAGAACCUUCGUCAGCAGCACGCUUGUGGGGAACAGGAAGAGUAGGGCUUUCUUUCUUUCAUACUUUAGCCAAUAAUGUUAGAUUUCUAGUUAUUUUAAAGAACGUCUUUUGUAUGCUUGUGAUAGAAUCAAUAAAGUUUUAAAAUUUAAAUUUACUUUUUAAAAUUAA